AACCGCGUAAAGUGGCAAGAGCAAAAAGGGGGGGCUCCGGGGCUCUCGUCUCCAGAUGUGCCCAGAUGGGAUUAGCUAGUAUGUGGGGGAAUGGGGCGCGGGGGGGGGGGGGGGGCUAGCUGGUCUGAGAGAAUGACCACCCCCACUGUGAGCUGAGACACGGUCCGCACACUUAUGCGAGUGGCCGGUGUGGAAAAUUGUGCAUGUUGUUUCAACCCCAUGCAUACAUGUCCCGUGUUUUAAAAAAAGGGGUCCUUUUUGUAAUAAGU
rnacentral:rRNA from 1 species